GACGAACGCUGGCGGCGUGCUUAACACAUGCAAGUCGAACGGAAAGGCCCUGCUUUUGUGGGGUGCUCGAGUGGCGAACGGGUGAGUAGCACGUGAGUAACCUGCCCUUGACUUUGGGAUAACUUCAGGAAACUGGGGCUAAUACCGGAUAGGAGCUCCUGCUGCAUGGUGGGGGUUGGAAAGUUUCGGCGGUUGGGGAUGGACUCGCGGCUUAUCAGCUUGUUGGUGGGGUAGUGGCUUACCAAGGCUUUGACGGGUAGCCGGCCUGAGAGGGUGACCGGCCACAUUGGGAAUGAGAUACGGCCCAGACUCCUACGGGAGGCAGCAGUGGGGAAUAUUGCACAAUGGGCGGAAGCCUGAUGCAGCAACGCCGCGUGCGGGAUGACGGCCUUCGGGUUGUAAACCGCUUUCGCCUGUGACGAAGCGUGAGUGACGGUAAUGGGUAAAGAAGCACCGGCUAACUACGUG
rnacentral:rRNA from 1 species